AUUCUCCCAUAUUAUUUAUUUUCUUUCCUCCAGCUUGAUGACUGCUCUUUCUAUCAGAUCCUGCUUGGGAGGAAAGGCUGUAAAAGCCUGUGCAGCUCAAACAGCUGUCUACACGCAGCUAAAGGAACUGGCUAAUUUGUUCUUUUAUCAUUUUCAUCUUGGUCUGGACUGUAACUGAAAUGGGAGGGAACUGGUAAUGAGUGAAGUGUAUAUAAUCAAAAAAAAACUUGGGGAAACUUUUAAAGCUGAGAAAAUACAGAGAAAGAUACAGAUUCUUUCUAGAAGGCAAAAGCGACGCAGUACGCUGCCAAGAGGCUAUAGAACUGUCAUUGGUAAAUGAAAAAGAAUACAUUUAUUAAAAAAAAGGUCAAUAUAUACGAUAAUCAUUAUGAGAAACUGAAGAGCUUUCUAAUUAAUAUAGACAUUUCCAAGAAAAUAUAAAGUUCAAGUCAUACAUAUUCAUGUGAUUCCUGGAGAAAACUGUUAUUUGGCGUGGAUAUAGAAGUGCACAGCGUGAAAGACCACCGUGGCGACUUAUUGCAAUAACCACACUUUCAACGUAAAAUCAGUUGUUUUACUACAAGCUCAAUGGCAUCAUCCCUUUUACCUGGCGAGAUAACCGUGGAGCUGGAUGAACAUGGGCUGGAGGACCAGAGUGAUGACAAGGAACAGCCCAACAAAAGCACAGAAGACCCACAUCUGGUCAGCACUACCACUGGUGGGAUGGAAAACUCCUGUCACAGCUGUAUGUUGGGCUUUGGAAUAGUGGCUCUAUUGAUUGGCAUAUCAUCAACAAGUGUGUAUUACGCAAACGGCCAAUCAGACCUUGCCCUCUCCAUAGUAGGACACACAAUCCUCUUCCUUGGGAUUGCCUCUAUUGUAUUCAGCUGUGCAUGGAGAUACUACAGGAAGAGAAGGAAGGCAAAGAUCAUGGAAGAUUUGGCUGAGUUGGUUUAUGAGAGCAAACUGAAAAAAAUAAGAAUAUAAAAAUGCCUAUAUGUUGACAAUGAAACUUGCAAUGGGUGGAAAAUAAUGGUAA